rnacentral:tRNA from 2 species
GGUCUCAUAGUAUAACGGAUAAUAUAUAGGUUUCCGAAACCUCAGAUCCAGGUUCGAUUCCUGGUGAGACCA